rnacentral:tRNA from 1 species
GCGAGAAUAGCUCAGCUGGCUAGAGCGUCUCCUUGCCAAGGAGAAGGUCGCGGGUUCGAAUCCCGUUUCUCGCUCCA